AAAAGAACUUUGAAAAAUUCCAGAAAAAAGGGACAGAGGUUAGAAAAAAAAAUAAAAAAUGUUGAAAACGACAAAAAAACAGCUGAUAUCUCGCCUCGGGCAGCUACAGUCAUUGUUUUGAGCCGGCUCUGUGGUUUGAAAAACUAGAAUUCUUUCUCAUAUUGUAUUUUUUAUACUCAGUUCUUUGCUAAAACAUCCAGUGUGUUUAUAUAUAAGCUUAUCCGAAUAAUGUGACUUAUAUGAUGUGAACUCUGUUUUUAUAAGAUGAUGCAUGAACAACUUUUAAAAUGAAUCUGUGGCUGGUGUUUAACAAGCUGCUGUUCCUCUAAUGGCCACUUGAUGCUGCUCAAAGACAACUCUUGACUGUAUUGAAGUGAAUGUGAAAACACAGAGCCACUCCCACCGGAGAGGAAAACAAUCGGCGACACACAUAUUAAAGGUCCAAUAUGUAAAAAAAAAAUUAUAACAAUAUGUCACCAGAUAUUAAGCCUCUGAGGACGAAAGACGCACCGGCGCAUCCAAACGAUAUUUGACAAAACUCCUACUCAGAAAUUAUCAGAAUUACAAAAUUUCAUUUCAGAUAAUUUACUAUUUUGAUUAUGUGUAACAUGACUGACCUGACAGACUGUGGCUGUUGCAGCAACGUUACGCCGAUAAAGGGUGGCUGUCAGUCAGGCACAAAGCUCUGCAAUGUCAUCAUCUUUUUAGUGGUUGUUGCAGCAAUGAUAAGCCGAGAAAGGGUGGCUGUCAGUCAGGCACAAAGCUCUGCAAUGGCGCUGUCUUUUUAGCAGCUGUUGUAGCGACUUUAAGCCGAAAAAGGGUGGCUGUCAGUCGGGCACAAAGCUCUGCAAUGGCACUGUCUUUUUAGCGGCUGUUGCAGCGACGAUAAGCCGAAAAAGGGUGGCUGUCAGUCGGACACAAAGCUCUGCAAUGUCGCCGUCUUUUUAGUGGCUGUUGCAGCGACGAUAAGCUGAGAAAGGGUGGCUGUCAGUCGACCACAAACCUCCGCAAUGGCGUUGUCUUUUUAGUAGCUGUUGUAGCGACUUUAAGCCGAUAAAGGGUGGCUGUCAGUCGGGCACAAACCUCCGCAAUGGCGCUGUCUUUUUAGCAGCUGUUGUAGCGACUUUCAGCUGAUAAAGGGUGGCUGUCAGUCAGGCACAAAGCUCUGCAAUGGCGCUGUCUUUUUAGCAGCUGUUGUAGCGACUUUCAGCUGAUAAAGGGUGGCUGUCAGUCAGGCACAAAGCUCUGCAAUGGCGCUGUCUUUUUAGCAGCUGUUGUAGCGACUUUCAGCUGAUAAAGGGUGGCUGUCAGUCAGGCACAAAGCUCUGCAAUGGCGCUGUCUUUUUAGCAGCUGUUGUAGCGACUUUAAGCCGAGAAAGGGUGGCUGUCAGUCAGGCACUAAGGUCUGCAAUGUCGCCGUCUUUUUAGUGGCUGUUGCAGCGACGAUAAGCCGAGAAAGGGUGGCUGUCAGUCGGGCUCAAAGCUCUGCAAUGUCGCGAUCUUUUUAGCUGUUGAUGUUGUUACAUAUAGCAGCCAGGAACAGAGUGCCCCAAGAGCAAGGGCUUUUAUAACCGUAAACAUCGCAGCAUCUAGCAACUCCGUCAUGGAGUAAUGUCUGGCAAUGCGAGACCAGCAUCUAGCUAACUUUGAAAUUGUGUGACGUUGGGUUUAGCGUUCGCAGCAUGGCAACUCCCAUAAACUUUGAGUCUAGGGAGGAGGGGCCAGGGGAGAAAACUCUCUCCAGUAUUUUGAAUUUGGACUGCAGUAACAAUUUUAAACACUAGCCGUCAGUAUUACAUAUUGGACCUUUAAAGAAAAUGUUGUACAUACAGUAUACUAAAAGAAAGCUUUUACUAUAUAAAAAAAAAAAUAAAAAAUACAUUCAUCAUUUAUUUUCUAGGCAAAGAAAAUGUAUAAGAACGUAUUUUAAUAAAUUCCUUUUCAUGAAAUAU